rnacentral:rRNA from 1 species
GAGUUUGAACCUGGCUCAGGAUGAACGCUGGCGGCGUGCCUAACACAUGCAAGUCGAACGAAGACUGUGCGGCGAAACUCUCCGGAGGGAAGAUGCGCAGGACUGAGUGGCGGACGGGUGAGUAACGCGUGGGUAACCUGCCCUGUACAGGGGGACAACAGCUGGAAACGGCUGCUAAUACCGCAUAAGCCUACAGUACCGCAUGGUACAGCAGGAAAAACUCCGGUGGUACAGGAUGGGCCCGCGUCUGAUUAGUUAGUUGGCAGGGUAACGGCCUACCAAGACAACGAUCAGUAGCCGGCUUGAGAGAGUGGACGGCCACAUUGGGACUGAGACACGGCCCAAACUCCUACGGGAGGCAGCAGUGGGGAAUAUUGCACAAUGGGGGGAACCCUGAUGCAGCAACGCCGCGUGAGUGAAGAAGUAUUUCGGUAUGUAAAGCUCUAUCAGCAGGGAAGAAAAUGACGGUACCUGACUAAGAAGCUCCGGCUAAAUACGUGCCAGCAGCCGCGGUAAUACGUAUGGAGCAAGCGUUAUCCGGAUUUACUGGGUGUAAAGGGAGCGCAGGCGGUACGGCAAGUCCGAUGUGAAAGCCCGGGGCUCAACCCCGGGACUGCAUUGGAAACUGCCGCACUAGAGUGCCGGAGAGGUAAGUGGAAUUCCUAGUGUAGCGGUGAAAUGCGUAGAUAUUAGGAGGAACACCAGUGGCGAAGGCGGCUUACUGGACGGUAACUGA